UUAACUCAAUUUGUAUGGAGUUGGAACGUUUGGCUACGUUUGCCGCUAGGAACGCUGUUCCAAUUGCAAACUUUGAGUUA
rnacentral:pre_miRNA from 1 species